CCUGCUGUUCUUCCAAGCCACCGUACCAACUUUCACUUCUUUCAACUUGCUGCUUCAGAGAGAGCAGUCAUCAAUAUUUUUGUUACAUGAUGAGAUGGUGAAAUUCGUACGCAAGCUAUGUUCCAAGUUUAUGGUUCCAGCAGCUCUGCAGUGCCAUGAGGAGCCUUGUGAAAUUGCCUUUGAAGAAAAGGCAAACCAUUUACCAGAUUACUCGACGAGGGUG